rnacentral:ncRNA from 2 species
AAAUCGUAUAGAGGUAGCGGUGCAUCAGAGUAUUAUCUGGAGUCGGCAGACAGUGAAAGAUAGGAAAGGUAAUCAUCGCCGAAAGCUAGCAUUGGCAGAUGCCUAGCUUGGGGUUGCAGGGAAUACCUGUAACACUCCUUCAGAAAUGAAGAGGAGCUAUUAAUCAA